rnacentral:rRNA from 1 species
UACGUAGGGGUGCAAGCGUUUGUCCGGAUUAUUGGGCGUAAAGAGCUCGUAGGCGGUCGUCGUCACGUCGGCUGUGAAAACCUCGGGGCUCAACUCCGAGCUUGCAGUCGAUACGGGCAGGCUAGAGUUCGGCAGGGGAGACUGGAAUUCCUGGUGUAGCGGUGAAAUGCGCAGAUAUCAGGAGGAACACCGGUGGCGAAGGCGGGUCUCUGGGCCGAUACUGACGCUGAGGAGCGAAAGCGUGGGGAGCGAACAGG